GAAAAAUUCAGAUGAAAAGUCGGGUGGAGGUCCAUGUUGCGAAGGGCUCGAUCGAGGAAUAACCUCUCUUUAGUUGAGGUUUUCAGGUAUCGUAUCCGGGAAAUGUGCGAUAAGAGCGGCAUGAAGAUGAAAAUAAAGAAAUCACAUUGGUGGAAAGCCUUGCCGAAGUGUCUCUAUUACAGCAUUCCGGAAACAAAGGUAUCAUAAUUUCAAGAUCAAAGCUCCACGUGGAACACCGCUUGUUAUUCAAAGUGAAGAUGACAACACGUAUGACUCGCAUGCACUGGCUUGUCUUCUUCCACGAGAAAUGGAACGCAUUCCAGAGGCUCUACGAGAAGUCCAGAUUUUCAGCAAAUCGCAGAGAAAGACAUACACUUUAGGAGAUGUCAAAGGGCAGCAGAUCG